rnacentral:rRNA from 1 species
UACAGAGGGUGCGAGCGUUAAUCGGAAUUACUGGGCGUAAAGCGUGCGUAGACGGUCAAGUAAGUCGGGUGUGAAAGCCCCGGGCUCAACCUGGGAAUUGCAUUCGAGACUGCGUGGCUAGGGUGCGGAAGAGGGAAGCGGAAUUUCCGGUGUAGCGGUGAAAUGCGCAGAUAUCGGGAAGAACACCCGUGGCGAAGGCGGCUCACUGGACCGGUACUGACGCUGAUGCGCGAAAGCGUGGGGAGCAAACGGG